rnacentral:rRNA from 1 species
GCAACAGCCAAAGGACUCUGAAAUAUCUUCAAUUCUUCACUUAUUCAGGACUUGAUGAGAAAUCAUUAAGUGAAUGGACUUCAGGGGGAGUAUGGUCACAAGGCUGAAACUUAAAGGAAUUGACGGAAGGGCACACCAGGAGUGGAGCCUGCGGCUUAAUUUGACUCAACACGGGAAAACUUACCAAGACCGAACGGUGUAAGGAAUGACAGGUUACUGGAUUUUUCAUGAUUCAUCGGGGAGUGGUGCAUGGCCGUUCUUAGUUCGUGGACUGAUUUGUCUGGUUAAUUCCGAUAACGAACGAGACUUGAACUUAUUAAUUAGUUGGG